rnacentral:rRNA from 1 species
UACCAGCUCUCCGAGUUGUAGGGAUGAUUAUUGGGCUUAAAGCGUCCGUAGCUGGCUUAGCAAGUCUCCUGUUAAAUUCAGCGACCUAAUCGUUGAGCCGCGGGAGAUACUACUAGGCUAGGAGGCGGGAGAGGUCGACGGUACUUUCGGGGUAGGGGUGAAAUCCUAUAAUCCCGGGAGGACCACCAGUGGCGAAGGCUGUCGACUAGAACGCGCUCGACGGUGAGGGACGAAGGCUGGGGGAGCGUUAACCGGAUUAGAUACCCGGGUAGUCCCAGCUGUAAACUAUGCGGGCUAGGUGUUGGGGUGGCUACGGGCCACUUCAGUGCCGCAGGAAAGCCAUUAAGCCCGCCGCCUGGGGAGUACGGCCGCAAGGCUGAAACUUAAAGGAAUUGGCGGGGGAGCACCACAAGGCGUGAAGCUUGCGGUUC